rfam:Schistosoma mattheei strain Denwood, Zambia genome assembly, scaffold: SMTD_scaffold0009296
GUCCACUCGCUUUGGCGGUACAUGCACUAAAAUUGGAACGAUACAAAGAUUGGCAUGGCUCCUAAGCAAGGAUGACACGCAAAAUCGUGAAGCGUUUCAUAUAUUU